GAUGAACGCUGGCGGCGUGCCUAAUACAUGCGAGUCGAGCGAACGGACGAGAGUGCUUGCACUCUCUGAUGUUAGCGGCGGACGGGUGAGUAACACGUGGGUAACCUACCUAUAAGACUGGGAUAACUUCGGGAAACCGGAGCUAAUACCGGAUAAUAUUUAGCUUCGCAUGAAGCAAUAGUGAAAGACAGUUCUGCUGUCACUUAUAGAUGGACCCGCGGUGUAUUAGCUAGUUGGUGAGGUAACGGCUCACCAAGGCAACGAUACAUAGCCGACCUGAGAGGGUGAUCGGCCACACUGGGACUGAGACACGGCCCAGACUCCUACGGGAGGCAGCAGUAGGGAAUCUUCCGCAAUGGACGAAAGUCUGACGGAGCAACGCCGCGUGAGUGAAGAAGGUUUUCGGAUCGUAAAACUCUGUUGUAAGGGAAGAACAAGUACGUUAGUAACUGAACGUACCUUGACGGUACCUUACCAGAAAGCCACGGCUAACUACGUGCCAGCCGCCGCAGUAA
rnacentral:rRNA from 1 species